rnacentral:rRNA from 1 species
GAUGAACGCUGGCGGCGUGCCUAAUACAUGCAAGUCGAGCGAACAGACGAGGAGCUUGCUCCUCUGACGUUAGCGGCGGACGGGUGAGUAAAACGUGGAUAACCUACCUAUAAGACUGGGAUAACUUCGGGAAACCGGAGCUAAUACCGGAUAAUAUAUUGAACCGCAUGGUUCAAUAGUGAAAGACGGUUUUGCUGUCACCUAUAGAUGGAUCCGCGCCGCAUUAGCUAGUUGGUAAGGUAACGGCUUACCAAGGCAACGAUGCGUAGCCGACCUGAGAGGGUGAUCGGCCGCCCGGGAACUGGGACGCGGUCCAGACUCCUACGGGAGCCACCAGUAGGGCCUCUUGCACAAUGUGCGACAGCCUGACGGAACCACGCCGCGUGAGUGAUGACGGUCUUCGGAUCGCAAAACUCUGUUAUUAGGGAAGAACAAAUCUGUAAGUAACUAUGCACGUCUUGACGGUACCUAAUCAGAAAGCCACGGCUAACUACGUG